UCCUUUACUUUCCCCGCAUUUCACUGGUUCAGCCAAAAUGUUGAUUCGUCUGGCUCAAAUGUUUACCCGGACACCUAACAACCCUAAUUUCAUCUUCAUCACUACCAGACUCUUCUCUGCAUCCUCAUCUAAUGAAUCACUUCUUCCAAUUUCUAAAAACCCUAUAAUCAAAUGGCCCUCAGAAACCCAUCAUCCAAAACCAAACCCCGAAUCUUCCCAUCAAAAUCAAGAUGAACAAAAUCCUAGUCCUAAUUUUCUUCAAAGAGACUGUAUUACAAUCUGCAAUCUUCUAAGGGACAGUUACAAUAAUCUUUCACCUGAAAAAACUCUUGAAACUGCAUUAGAUGAAACUGGUAUCAAACCUGCUUCUUCUCUAUUACAAACAAUUUUGCCCCAUUUUGAUUCUUCACCAGAACCCUCUCUUUCUCUCUACAAAUGGGCAGUAAAACAACCCUCUUUUGAUCCUGAUACUUUUGCAGUUCUCAUUAAGCAGUACACUCUUGCAGGUAUGACUUUGACUGCGAUUCGCACAUUUGAGAUUGCUAGUGAAUUAGAUUCAAGUCAUUAUACAUUUUCAAUAUCUAGUUUGUUUGAGACUUUAUUGGACUCUCUUUGUAAAGAAGGGCAUGUUAGGAUAGCUUCUGAGUAUUGUGUUAAGAGGAGAGAAUUAGAACCAGGUUGGGUACCUUCAGUUGGAGUUUAUAAUGUUUUACUUGAGGGAUGGUUUCGAAUUGGGAAACUUAAACAGGCUGAAAGACUCUGGGGGGAUAUGAAAACAGAAAAUGUAGCUCCUAAUGUUGUAACUUAUGGUACACUUGUUGAAGGUUAUUGCAAAUUGCGUCGCGUUGAGAGGGCAAUGGAAUUAGUCUCAGAGAUGAAGAGAGAAGGAAUUCGUGGUGACGCUAUUGUUUAUGAUCCAAUUGUUGAUGCAUUGAGUGAAGCGGGUAGAUUUAAAGAAGCUUUAGGAAUGAUGGAGAGAUUGUUGGUUACGGAUCCAGGUCCAACUAUUUCGACUUAUAAUUCUAUGGUGAAGGGUUAUUGCAAGGCAGGGGAUUUGGCUGGAGCAAGCAAGAUUCUAAAGAUGAUGAUAGGGAGAGGGUUAAUUCCAACAGCAACAACUUAUAAUUAUUUCUUCAGGCAUUUUUCUAAAUUUGGGAAGAUUGAAGAAGGGAUGAAUCUUUACUCUAAGAUGAUUGAGUCAGGGUAUUUUCCGGAUCGUCUUACUUACCACUUGUUAAUCAAGAUGUUGAGUGAGGUUGGGAGGUCAGAUUUGGUUGUUCAAGUUUGCAAGGACAUGAAGGUUAAAGGUCAUGGUUUGGAUCUAGGUACUAGUUCCAUGUUAGUUCAUUUGCUCUGUAAUUUACGAAGACUUGAAGAAGCUUGUGUGGAGUUUGAGGAUAUGAUAAGGAGAGGGGUGGUUCCUCAAUCUCUUACUUAUAAGGAACUUUGCGACGAACUGAAAAUAGCAGGAAUGCAUGAAAUGGCUAGGAAGCUAUCUGUCCAGAUGAGUUCUAUCCCACAUGAGAUGAAGUUACCAAAUACAUAUAGAGGAGGAGGAGAUAGGUCACAAGAAGUGAGAACAUCCAUAUUGCGAAAAGCUCAGGCUAUGUCUGAUGUUUUAAAGACAUCAAAAAAUGUGCAGGUACUCUCUAAGCUUAGAGUUCGUUCGAAGGAACCUGGCGAAGCAAAAAUCGAUAAACAGAAUGUAAGGAGAUGCGGGAAAGAUGUGAAGGGUGUGUAAUCUUGAGUUUAGCCUAAAAACGGGAACGUCUAUUCAGUUCUCACUCGGCUAAGGCCAUCAGAUGCACAAGGAAGAAAUGGUUCUUUUAACAUUGUGAUUGCCCAUCAUGUGAAAUGCUGGUGCCAUAUCCGAUAAGCUUUGAAGAUCUCGAAGAGGGGUAUGUAAGCUACAGAAGAUACACCGUGCAGAUGAUACUGUGAUCCCUCUUAUUGCUAGAUUAUUUAUUGUUGGAGCUGCAUUCCUCAUAGUAGCCCAUAGUGCAAGGCAGAUAAGCUCGGAAACGAUGGUUUGUUUGGGACUCCUUCACACAACAAGAAACUGCAGUAAGAAUGAGGUGAGACACUUUUGUUCGCAAAUCUUGGGCGAACGAGCCAUGCCCAUUAUCCUAAUUUAAUUUCCUCUAAUGUGACGAACUGAGGAUCAAUAUUAUUGUGCGUUUCUUCUGCACCCAGAGUGGAUUCCUUGGCAUUCCUUUUCAAGUGCUUGCUUGCAUGGCUCGUCUCUUUGUUCCUAGUAUAUUGCUGUUCAGAGCCCUUUUCUGCACUAGCAGCUGUUGAGCUGGAGUCGGAACUACUAAUUGAAUGAAUAUCCCACCGAGUCGGAAUUACAUCAAAUGCUUUCUCACUAGGAAAGUUUCGCAAUUCUGAUAAAUGUUUUUCUAAACAUUUCUUUUAGUAGUGACUAGUGAUGAUAAAAGUAAUGUACUAGUUUCCAAGACAUGGAUUGAGAAUUGAGAUUGACAUUGUGCGAUUGAGUGUUUCUUUAACACCCGCAUGCUCUCUGGAUAUAUAUCCGAUGGGAUGUGUGAGGGGACGAAUAUGAGCCUCAAUAAUAAUAUAUUAACGCCCCA